AAUAGAUACCCGGGUAGUCCACGCCCUAAACGAUGCAUAUUUGGUGUGGGUCAUUCAGUUGAUCCGUGCCGGAGCUAACGCGUUAAAUAUGCCGCCUGGGGAGUACAGUCGCAAGGCUGAAACUCAAAGGAAUUGACGGGAACCUGCACAAGCGGUGGAUUAUGUGGUUUAAUUCGAUGCAACGCGAAGAACCUUACCAGGGUUUGACAUGUCUAGGAUUUCUCAGAAAUGGGAAAGUGCUACUAUCAUUUGGGAUAGUAGAACUAGAACACAGGUGGUGCAUGGCUGUCGUCAGCUCGUGCGUUGACGUGUACGGUUAAGUCCAGCAACGAGCGCAACCCUGUCCUUAGUACCUUUUUGGAUUCUCUAAGGAGACUGCGCGCGCAAGCGCUGAGGAAGUGGGAUGACGUCAAGUCAGCACGGCUCUUACGUCCAGGGCUACACACACGCUACAAUGGCCGGUACAACGCGCAGCGAUGGGGCACCCGGAGCGAAUCGCACCAAAGCCGGUCUCAGGUUG
rnacentral:rRNA from 1 species